rnacentral:rRNA from 1 species
GAUGAACGCUGGCGGCGUGCUUAACACAUGCAAGUCGAACGGUGAAUCAAAGCUUGCUCUGUUGAUCAUUGGCGAACGGGUGAGUAACACGUGAGCAACCUGCCCCUUACUCUGGGAUAAGCGCUGGAAACGGCCUCUAAUACUGGAUAUGAGCUGCGACCGCAUGGUCAGCAGUUGGAAAGAUUUUUCGGUCUGGGAUGGGCUCACGGGCUAUCAGCUUGUUGGUGAGGUAAUUGCUCACCAAGGCGUCGGCGGGUAGCCGGCCUGAAAGGGUGACCCGCCCCCCCGGGAAUGAGGAAAGGCACACGAUUCUGCGGGGGGCAGGAGUGGGGAAUGUUGUAAUAUGGACGCAAGGCCUACGCCGGCACGGCAGGAGAGGGAAGACGGACUUCGGGUUAGAAAGCUGUUUUUAGAGGGAAGGAGCAAAAGUGCAGGUGCCUGAAGGAAAAGGGCCGGGCAAGUAACUG